AACGAACGCUGGCGGCAUGCCUAACACAUGCAAGUCGAACGAAGGCUUCGGCCUUAGUGGCGCACGGGUGCGUAACGCGUGGGAAUCUGCCCUUGGGUUCGGAAUAACUCAGAGAAAUUUGAGCUAAUACCGGAUGAUGACGUAAGUCCAAAGAUUUAUCGCCCAAGGAUGAGCCCGCGUAGGAUUAGCUUGUUGGUGAGGUAAAGGCUCACCAAGGCGACGAUCCUUAGCUGGUCUGAGAGGAUGAUCAGCCACACUGGGACUGAGACACGGCCCAGACUCCUACGGGAGGCAGCAGUGGGGAAUAUUGGACAAUGGGCGAAAGCCUGAUCCAGCAAUGCCGCGUGAGUGAUGAAGGCCUUAGGGUUGUAAAGCUCUUUUACCCGGGAUGAUAAUGACAGUACCGGGAGAAUAAGCUCGGCUAACUCCGUG
rnacentral:rRNA from 1 species